rnacentral:rRNA from 1 species
CUUACACAUGCAAGUCGAACGGUCUCUUCGGAGAUAGUGGCGGACGGGUGAGUAACGCGUGAGAACAUGCCUUUAGAUUGGGGACAACAGUUGGAAACGACUGCUAAUACCGAAUGUGCCUUAGGGUGAAAGAUUUAUUGUCUAGAGAUUGGCUCGCGUCAGAUUAGCUAGUUGGAGUGGUAACGGCACACCAAGGCGACGAUCUGUACUUGGUCUGAGAGGAUGACCAGGCACACUGGAACUGAGACACGGUCCAGACUCCUACGGGAGGCAGCAGUGGGGAAUUUUCCGCAAUGGGCGAAAGCCUGACGGAGCAAUACCGCGUGAGGGAGGACGGCUUUUGGGUUGUAAACCUCUUUUAUCAGGGAAGAAUCGAUGACGGUACCUGAUGAAUCAGCAUCGGCUAACUCCGUGCCAGCAGCCGCGGUAAUACGGAGGAUGCAAGCGUUAUCCGGAAUUAUUGGGCGUAAAGCGUCCGUAGGUGGUUUAUCAAGUCUGCUGUCAAAGCGUGCGGCUUAACCGCAUAAGGGCAGUGGAAACUGAUGAACUAGAGUGCGAUAGGGGUAACAGGAAUUCCCAGUGUAGCGGUGAAAUGCGUAGAUAUUGGGAAGAACACCAGCGGCGAAAGCGUGUUACUGGGUCUGCACUGACACUGAGGGACGAAAGCUAGGGGAGCGAAAGGGAUUAGAUACCCCUGUAGUCCUAGCCGUAAACGAUGACAACUAGGCGUGGUUCGUAUCGACCCGAGCCGUGCCGUAGCCAACGCGUUAAGUUGUCCGCCUGGGGAGUACGCACGCAAGUGUGAAACUCAAAGGAAUUGACGGGGGCCCGCACAAGCGGUGGAGUAUGUGGUUUAAUUCGAUGCAACGCGAAGAACCUUACCAAGGCUUGACAUCCUCGGAACCCUGAUGAAAGUUAGGGGUGCCUUCGGGAGCCGAGAGACAGGUGGUGCAUGGCUGUCGUCAGCUCGUGUCGUGAGAUGUUGGGUUAAGUCCCGCAACGAGCGCAACCCACGUUUUUAGUUGCCAGCAUUCAGUUGGGCACUCUAGAGAGACUGCCGGUGACAAACCGGAGGAAGGUGUGGAUGACGUCAAGUCAGCAUGCCCCAUACGCCUUGGGCUACACACGUACUACAAUGCGUCGGACAAAGAGCAGCCAGCCAGCGAUGGUGAGCCAAUCUCAUAAACCGGCGCUCAGUUCAGAUUGCAGGCUGCAACUCGCCUGCAUGAAGGCGGAAUCGCUAGUAAUCGCAGGUCAGCAUACUGCGGUGAAUACGUUCCCGGGCCUUGUACACACCGCCCGUCACACCAUGGGAGUUGGUCACGCCCGAAGUCGUUACUCUAACUGCUGCAGAGGAGGACGCCGAA